CAUCCACAAAGUUAGAAACUGUCUUGUAACUUAAGAACAUGGGCUGUUGGGUGAGACAGCUGAGCAAAAAUCAGACAUACAUCACCACACCACAAAGUCUUCUACCUUUCUACAAGCAUAUCGCAUCAGAUUAGAAGGCAGCUCUUGGUGCCCAGCCUCUCCGGCUAGGUUUCUGAUAACGACCCCAAACACACCUUCAAGAUGACCACUGCCUUGCUAAAGAAGCUGAGGGUAAAGGUGAUGGACUGGCCAAGCAAGUUUUCAUACCUAAACCUUAUUGAGCAUCUGUGGGGCAUCCUCAAACGGAAGGUGGGGGAGCACAAGGUCUCUAACAUCCACCAGCUCAGUGAUGUCGUCAUGGAGGAGUGGAAGAGGACUCCAGUGGCAACCUGUGAAGCUCUGGUGAACUCCAUGCCCAAGAGGGUUAAGGCAGUGCUGGAAAAUAAUGGUGGCCAAACAAAAUAUUGACAUUUUGGGCCCAAUUUGGACAUUCCACUUAGGGGUGUACUCACUUUUGUUGCCAACGGUUUAGACAUUAAUAGCUGUGUGUUGAGUUAUUUUGAGGGGACAGCAAAUUUACACUGUUAUAUAGGCUGUACACUCACUAGUACUACUUUACAUUGUAGCAAAGUGUAAUUUCUUCAGUGUUGUCACAUGAAACGAUAUAAUAAAAUAUUUACAAAAA